GAUGAACGCUGGCGGCGUGCCUAAUACAUGCAAGUCGAGCGAACGGACGAGAAGCUUGCUUCUCUGAUGUUAGCGGCGGACGGGUGAGUAACACGUGGAUAACCUACCUAUAAGACUGGGAUAACUUCGGGAAACCGGAGCCAAUACCGGAUGAUAUUUUGAACCGCAUGGUUCAAAAGUGAAAGACGGUCUUGCUGUCACUUAUAGAUGGAUCCGCGCUGCAUUAGCUAGUUGGUAAGGUAACGGCUUACCAAGGCAACGAUGCAUAGCCGACCUGAGAGGGUGAUCGGCCACACUGGAACUGAGACACGGUCCAGACUCCUACGGGAGGCAGCAGUAGGGAAUCUUCCGCAAUGGGCGAAAGCCUGACGGAGCAACGCCGCGUGAGCGAUGAAGGUCUUCGGAUCGUAAAACUCUGUUAUUAGGGAAGAACAUAUGUGUAAGUAACUGUGCACAUCUUGACGGUACCUAAUCAGAAAGCCACGGCUAACUACGUG
rnacentral:rRNA from 1 species